CUAUUAUGUGAUAAAUAUUCUUUUGUGCCAUGCCACCUGACAUGGCGGGUGACGUGCAAGUCAAGAAUAGAGAAAAUCAAAAAUCAGUCCAGUCCAGUCCAACUGUCCAGUCCAGUCCAGUCCAACUGUCCAGUCCAGUCCAACUGUCCAGUCCAGUCCAACUGUCCAGUCCAUGUUUUGUACUAUGCCCUAAAUUUAGACCGUACAGUUUAUACUGUUUUUCGAAAUAUAAGAUAUUCAAGCAAAAGUUCAAAUGUUUUAAAUACUGUUUUCUCAAAACAGAACAUUUCGUGCUUUGAGAUAAGACGGCCAAGACCAAUUUGAUCAGUUGAUGUGUUUUUUAUGCAUAGUGCUUCAGCAGUUGACAUAUAUAGAGCUCAGCGAAAACAUAUAAAUUAUAGCAUCUGACCAAUGAGAAUUUCGCGUCACGAUUUGAGACGCAGAUAUUCAAAUUCAUUAGUCAUCGAUGCAGGCUCUCAAUUCAGCUUGAGAGCCUGUUCGCAGGCUAUGGAAUGUCUGGAUCCAAUGUCGAAUAACCAGUAUGUGUGCAUCGAUAAUUCAAAUGAAGAUCCAGGUGGAAAUGCGAAGUAAACAAUGUUGAUGAUUUUGCAAUAAAAUCGAAAUAUCACGAACUCAUUCUCGAUCGUCUUGCUUUUAAUCCUAAAGUUCCACCAAAUUUUUCAUCAUACGAAAAGAUUUCUGCUUGACACUAAAGCGUUGCCGUACUACUUUCUUACCCAGUUUGUUUAUCAUUUACUUUUGGAGCACAUUUAAGCCAGUUUUCCACUAGGCGAAUUUGUUCGCGCCAAACGCAGCGAAAAAAUUAAUUCGGUAACGUCAUUGGUCUUAUAUGGUCUUGUAUUGCCGGGACGAAGUGAAAGAUGAGAUGAUUCUUAUGUCUGG